rnacentral:rRNA from 1 species
CCUACGGGUGGCUGCAGUGAGGAAUAUUGGUCAAUGGACGGAAGUCUGAACCAGCCAUGCCGCGUGCAGGAAGACGGCUCUAUGAGUUGUAAACUGCUUUUGUACAAGGGUAAACCUGAAUACGUGUAUUCAGCUGAAAGUACUGUACGAAUAAGGAUCGGCUAACUCCGUGCCAGCAGCCGCGGUAAUACGUAGGGGGCAAGCGUUGUCCGGAAUUACUGGGCGUAAAGGGAGUGUAGGCGGCCUUUUAAGUUAUAUGUGAAAGCCCCCGGCUUAACCGAGGAACUGCAUAUAAAACUGGAGGGCUGGAGUGCAGGAGAGGUAAGCGGAAUUUCUAGUGUAGCGGUGGAAUGCGUAGAUAUUAGGAAGAACACCGGAGGCGAAGGCGGCUUACUGGACUGUAACUGACGCUGAGGCUCGAAAGCGUGGGGAGCAAACAGGAUUAGAUACCCUUGUAGUC